rnacentral:snRNA from 1 species
GUCCCUUCUGGGACAUCCGAUAAAGUUGGAACGAUAUAGAGAAGAUUAGCAUGGCCACUGCGCAAGGAUGACACGCUCAAAUCGAAAUGGUUACCGAUUUUG